rnacentral:piRNA from 1 species
UUGCAUCUACACAGCUCAUCAUGAAAGCAU